rnacentral:lncRNA from 1 species
GGUCCUCAAGCCAUGCAACACUGACAAAGCAAAGUUGAACAACUUCACUUAUUCCCCUCUGUCUGGCAGACAGUAAUGCCAAUGCUGGUGGGAAUUUGUGGAACUAAGAGUAAGGCCCAGAUAAAAGUCCCACUCAUGGUGUAUUUCUCUGGCGCUUGAAAGAUUUUAUUUCUGAAAAUUGAUAAAUGAAGAGUGUCAAUCUGAUAGAUUGAGACUAUUCUGGGUUCAUUUUGUGAUAUUUCAGGACAUGCCAAAUUUGAUGAUCCUUGUGGGUCCCUUCCAACUCGGCAGAAUCUGUGACCCCUGACGCCUCACACACAGCGUCGUGCAGGCGGUGCCCAUGGCCGGGUGUGCUGCUGUCAGCUGGGAUCCACUGCGGCCCAACGGGGUCCACUGCAGCCCGCUGGGCUCCAUCGCUGCCCGCUGGGCUCCAUCGCUGCCCGCUGGGCUCCAUCCCGGCCGUUGAGGCCCCCGGCGCCGCAGCCGCGGGCGCGGGCCGGAGCGGCGCACAGCGCCCCCUAGCGCCGGCCAUCGCUGCCGGGCGCGGGGAGCUCGGAGCCGGCGAGAGCCCGCGCGAUGCCGCCAGCCCGACACCCGCCGGAACGCCGCCUCAGCCUUUGCGUGUGUCCUGUGGAUUUAUUUUACUCCGCUUCUGAAACGUGUGGUGCCGCCAGGUGCUGCCGGGCGCCACGGAGCGGGUGAUGUCCCACGGCAGAGCCGGAGCUGCCGCAGGUCCCGCGCCGCUCCUGCCUGGCUCCUCACCGCCGUUGAGGCCCGCUGGGAUCCAUCGCUGCCCGCUGGGCUCCAUCGCUGCCCUGUGGGAUCCAUCGCUGCCCGCUGGGCUCCAUCGCUGCCCGCUGGGCUCCAUCCCGGCCGUUGAGGCCCCCGGCGCCGCAGCCGCGGGCGCGGGCCGGAGCGGCGCACAGCGCCCCCUAGCGCCGGCCAUCGCUGCCGGGCGCGGGGAGCUCGGAGCCGGCGAGAGCCCGCGCGAUGCCGCCAGCCCGACACCCGCGGGAACGCCGCCUCAGCCUUUGCGUGUGUCCUGUGGAUUUAUUUUACUCCGCUUCUGAAACGUGUGGUGCCGCCAGGUGCUGCCGGGCGCCACGGAGCGGGUGAUGUCCCACGGCAGAGCCGGAGCUGCCGCAGGUCCCGCGCCGCUCCUGCCUGGCUCCUCACCGCUCCAUCGCUGGUGGUUUCUAGUUCUAAAAGCCUUGCGGAUUUUGGCCUUUCCGCACGCCACCAUCGUGACAGGAUCACUGAAUGGUUUGGGCCUAAGGGACCUUGAAUACCGAUUUCCAACCCUCCUGCCACGGGCAAGGACACUACAUGAUCAUCCUGAGUGCUGAAUAAAAUAAAAAAAGUUUUGUUCCUUAUUUCUCAUUUGUAUUUAAAAAGAAAGAGACAGCAGACCACGCUGAAAGCCCUUCUACCUUUUCAUUCUAUUUGUUUUAAUUUUGGUCACCACAUAUAAUGCAUUUAACAGUAGUUUCUUUAACUACUGAUUGUGUGUUUUCUUACCAGCCCUAGACAUUUUCCCCAUCUCAGAAUCCAAUUAAGCAUUCAGAACACCCACAGAGGAAGUAAAAUUUGAACUGAAAAUUUGAAUAAUUA